GCCUAUGCCUGCCCUAAAGGCACCAGUGCUUGUCUGAUCGUGGAAGCUAAGUAGGGCUAGCUCUGGUUAGUACUUGGAUGGAGAACCACCAAUGAAUACCAGGUGCUGUGGGAU
rnacentral:rRNA from 1 species